rnacentral:lncRNA from 1 species
AUGGGCGGGGAUCCGCCUUGGAUUUGGCCCGAGAACCCCUGGUUUACCAGCGGGACUGUGGCCCAGGCAGGAGGAAGGCGUCUGCAGGCGCCGACCGCGUCGUGUGCGCGACCGCGCCCGGCUCCCCGCGACCCCGAGGGCCAGAGGUGCCAAUGCCUGGCGCCGGGCAGGGGGGAGCCCGCGGCCUGGCCUCCAGAGGAAGGGGGCCGACUCUUAUAUAAAAGUCCCCGUUCUCUGCCAAACACCAUGCCAGCGCAUGGGCAGACCGUGCAGCCAGCCUCUCCCUGUCACCACGGACCGCUGUCCCUUGGAGACUGUCCCACGCCUGCUCUCCAGCCCCUGCCCACCUUCCCUGCCCUGCCCCCUCCUCCUCCCCAAACCCGACCUCCUGCCUCCAUCUCUGUGAAUCCUUCUCCAGGAAGCUCGGGCAGGCUUUUGACGUCUUUGGUAAAUGUUGUAUUUCGCAGUAUUUCUAGAUUCGCCUGCCGUUGUAAGAUGGAACGCAGAGACCGUUGCUAUACUCUUCAGCCAGCUGUCCUCUGUGGUUGGACUGGCUUUACUGGUAUGCAGUGUCCCAAAGGGGAUUUUGGGGGGAAUCGUUUUAUUCAAAAAUAUGGGCAGGUGACCUACAGCACGCCCGGCCCUUUGAGACGCGGAGAUAGAGCAGUGAGUCACAGUGACAAGCAUCUCUGUGCCGUGGGUCGGGUCCUUAUUUGUGGUGAAGUCCAUUGCACUCGCCAUGUAUUUCUGGCGGGAACUCGCAUUCUCUCCGUGGAUCCUAAGCUCCCCAGCGCAGACAGCCCAUCACCCACCCUUCUGUUUCCACAUCAAGGCCUAGAGCUGCAACCUUUUUACCUGAGAGCCCCUAGAACUUCCACUUACGGCGCAGGGAGGAAUCUGGAGAGAUCAGCUGGCCUGUGCGCCUACAAAAAGACCUGUAACAGAGGUGACAUGGUCUCUCUCUUCACACACGUGAAGGGCCUGGCACUGAACACGGACACGUGA